rnacentral:rRNA from 1 species
UUGAACGCUGGCGGCAUGCUUUACACAUGCAAGUCGAACGGUAACAGGUUAAGCUGACGAGUGGCGAACGGGUGAGUAAUGCAUCGGAACGUGCCCGAUCGUGGGGGAUAACGCAGCGAAAGCUGCGCUAAUACCGCAUACGAUCUGAGGAUGAAAGCGGGGGACCGUAAGGCCUCGCGCGAUCGGAGCGGCCGAUGUCAGAUUAGGUAGUUGGUGGGGUAAAGGCUCACCAAGCCGACGAUCUGUAGCUGGUCUGAGAUGACGACCAGCCACACUGGAACUUAGACACGGUCCAGACUCCUACGGGAGGCAGCAGUGGGGAAUUUUGGACAAUGGGCGCAAGCCUGAUCCAGCAAUGCCGCGUGCAGGAUGAAGGCCUUCGGGUUGUAAACUGCUUUUGUACGGAACGAAACGGUUCUCUUUAAUAAAGAGGGCUAAUGACGGUACCGUAAGAAUAAGCACCGGCUCACUACGU